UACGGAGGGUGCGAGCGUUGUCCGGAAUCACUGGGCGUAAAGCGCACGUAGGCGGGUCGUUAAGUCAGGGGUGAAAUCCUGGAGCUCAACUCCAGAACUGCCCUUGAUACUGGCGAUCUCGAGUUCGGGAGAGGUGAGUGGAACUGCGAGUGUAGAGGUGAAAUUCGUAGAUAUUCGCAAGAACACCAGUGGCGAAGGCGGCUCACUGGCCCGAUACUGACGCUGAGGUGCGAAAGCGUGGGGAGCAAACAGG
rnacentral:rRNA from 1 species